rnacentral:rRNA from 1 species
GGAUUAGAUACCCUGGUAGUCCACGCCGUAAACGAUGAUGACUAGAUGUUGGACGAGCUUAAUUGUUCAGUAUCGUAGCUUACGCGUUAAGUCAUCCGCCUGGGGAGUACGGCCGCAAGGUUAAAACUCAAAGGAAUUGACGGGGACCCGCACAAGCGGUGGAGCAUGUGGUUUAAUUCGACGCAACGCGCAGAACCUUACCUGGGCUUGACAUCCUCUGACAGCUCUAGAGAUAGAGUAUUCCAGCAAUGGACAGAGUGACAGGUGCUGCAUGGCUGUCGUCAGCUCGUGCUG